ACGGAGGGUGCAAGCGUUAAUCGGAAUUACUGGGCGUAAAGCGCACGCAGGCGGUCUGUCAAGUCGGAUGUGAAAUCCCCGGGCUCAACCUGGGAACUGCAUUCGAAACUGGCAGGCUAGAGUCUUGUAGAGGGGGGUAGAAUUCCAGGUGUAGCGGUGAAAUGCGUAGAGAUCUGGAGGAAUACCGGUGGCGAAGGCGGCCCCCUGGACAAAGACUGACGCUCAGGUGCGAAAGCGUGGGGAGCAAACAGGA
rnacentral:rRNA from 1 species